rnacentral:rRNA from 1 species
GACGUAGGGUGCGAGCGUUGUCCGGAUUUAUUGGGCGUAAAGAGCUCGUAGGCGGCUCGUCGCGUCGACCGUGAAAACCCGCGGCUUAACUGCGGGCUUGCGGUUGAUACGGGCGGGCUAGAGUUCGGUAGGGGAGACUGGAAUUCCUGGUGUAGCGGUGAAAUGCGUAGAUAUCAAGUGGAACACCAGUGGCGAAGGCGAGUCUCUGGACAUUUCCUGACGCUGAGGCACGAAAGCCAGGGGAGCAAACGGG